rnacentral:rRNA from 1 species
AGGUGUCCAUAGUAGAGUGGAAAUACCCGUUCCCAUCCCGAACACGGAAGUAAAACGCUCUCGCGCCGAUGGUACUGCGGUUCGUCCGCGGGAGAGUAGGUAGAUGCCU